UACAGAGGGUGCGAGCGUUAAUCGGAAUUACUGGGCGUAAAGCGCACGUAGGCGGCUUGGUAUGUCGGGUGUGAAAUCCCCGGGCUCAACCUGGGAACUGCAUCCGAAACUGCCUUGCUCGAGUAUGGGAGAGGGAAGUGGAAUUUCCGGUGUAGCGGUGAAAUGCGUAGAUAUCGGAAGGAACAUCAGUGGCGAAGGCGACUCCCUGGACCAAUACUGACGCUCAGGUGCGAAAGCGUGGGGAGCAAACAGG
rnacentral:rRNA from 1 species